rnacentral:rRNA from 1 species
UACGUAGGGUGCAAGCGUUAAUCGGAAUUACUGGGCGUAAAGCGUGCGCAGGCGGUUCUAUAAGACAGGGGUGAAAUCCCCGGGCUUAACCUGGGAACUGCAUUUGUGACUGCAUCGCUGGAGUGCGGCAGAGGGGGAUGGAAUUCCGCGUGUAGCAGUGAAAUGCGUAGAUAUGCGGAGGAACACCGAUGGCGAAGGCAAUCCCCUGGGCCUGCACUGACGCUCAUGCACGAAAGCGUGGGGAGCAAACAGG